rnacentral:rRNA from 1 species
GACGAACGCUGGCGGCAUGCCUAACACAUGCAAGUCGAACGGAGAUUAUUUCGGUAAUCUUAGUGGCGAACGGGUGAGUAACGCGUAGGCAACCUGCCCUUUAGUUGGGGACAACAUUCCGAAAGGGGUGCUAAUACCGAAUGUGACAGUUUUCCGCAUGGGAUUACUGUGAAAGAUGGCCUCUAUUUAUAAGCUAUCGCUAAAGGAUGGGCCUGCGUCUGAUUAGCUAGUUGGUGGGGUAACGGCCUACCAAGGCGACGAUCAGUAGCCGGUCUGAGAGGAUGAACGGCCACAUUGGGACUGAGAUACGGCCCAG